CCUACGGGAGGCAGCAGUGGGGAAUUUUGGACAAUGGGCGCAAGCCUGAUCCAGCCAUGCCGCGUGCGGGAAGAAGGCCUUCGGGUUGUAAACCGCUUUUGUCAGGGAAGAAAUCCUUUGGGUUAAUACCUCGGAGGGAUGACGGUACCUGAAGAAUAAGCACCGGCUAACUACGUGCCAGCAGCCGCGGUAAUACGUAGGGUGCGAGCGUUAAUCGGAAUUACUGGGCGUAAAGCGUGCGCAGGCGGUUAUGCAAGACAGAUGUGAAAUCCCCGGGCUCAACCUGGGAACUGCAUUUGUGACUGCAUAGCUAGAGUACGGUAGAGGGGGAUGGAAUUCCGCGUGUAGCAGUGAAAUGCGUAGAUAUGCGGAGGAACACCGAUGGCGAAGGCAAUCCCCUGGACCUGUACUGACGCUCAUGCACGAAAGCGUGGGGAGCAAACAGGAUUAGAUACCCUGGUAGUCCACGCCCUAAACGAUGUCAACUGGUUGUUGGACGGCUUGCUGUUCAGUACGAAGCUAACGCGUGAAGUUGACCGCCUGGGGAGUCGGCCGCAAGGUUGAAACUUAAAUGAAUUGACGG
rnacentral:rRNA from 1 species